rnacentral:rRNA from 1 species
AUGUCCACCUCCCCAAACACCAGCUCCUCCCUCACCUCCCCAUCCCUCCCCGCCAGCAAUACCUCCACCACCGGCGUCCUCACCACCGUUGCCAUGCCCGCCACCGUAUCUCCCGCUGUCAACGUCGCAAGCGUCUGCACCCAUGUUCCUGUUACCUUGGACCUUCAGGCUUCCAAUUUCACCAAGUGGAGGAUGCUCAUUAGGGUUCUUCUCGGCAAGUACGACCUUCUCUCCCACGUCAACACCGCCACCGCCGAGGCGGACCGCACCUCGGACUGGAUGCGCGAGGAUUACGUCAUGCGUUCUUGGCUGUACGGGUCCAUCUCUGAUGAGAUUCUGGACAUUAUCAUGGCGGAGGAUCAAACGGCGCAGGAGGCCUGGACACUCAUCACCAAUCUAUUUCUGGAUAAUCAGAUGACUCGAGCUGUCUACCUCGAGGCGGAGUUCCGUAGCCUCGUCCAAGGUGAUCUCUCCAUCACCGCCUACUGUCAUCGCCUGAAGGCCCUCUCCGACGCUCUCAGCAACGUCGGCACCCCCGUCUCCGACUAG